rnacentral:rRNA from 1 species
GAUCUACGGGUGACGAGCGGAGGAGGGCGCGAAUGUCUGGGAAACUGCCUGAUGGAGGGGGAUAACUACUGGAAACGGUAGCUAAAACCGCAUAACGUCGCAAGACCAAAGUGGGGGACCUUCGGGCCUCAUGCCAUCAGAUGUGCCCAGAUGGGAUUAGCUAGUAGGUGGGGUAACGGCUCACCUAGGCGACGAUCCCUAGCUGGUCUGAGAGGAUGACCAGCCACACUGGAACUGAGACACGGUCCAGACUCCUACGGGAGGCAGCAGUGGGGAAUAUUGCACAAUGGGCGCAAGCCUGAUGCAGCCAUGCCGCGUGUGUGAAGAAGGCCUUCGGGUUGUAAAGCACUUUCAGCGGGGAGGAAGGCGUUAUGGUUAAUAACCUUGUCGAUUGACGUUACCCGCAGAAGAAGCACCGGCUAACUCCGUGCCAGCAGCGGCG